GGCAGUUUUACUCUGCUGGUUUCAAAUAUGGUUUCAUUGAGAAUCAGCAAACAGCUGAUUUGACUUGAUAUUGUUUGGCUUGCGGAUUCUAGGACCCCAAGCAUGCUUAAGUCACUAUACCAGUUGGUUCGUGCCUUUCUCAAUGAUGAUGUUCAAGUUAACAUCCGAAUGGCCUGUAGUCAUGGGGAGCUCUGAUUCUGCCCUGUGGGCUGGAAGUUCACAAAGCCUGGGGCUGGUCUUUGAUGAACCCUCUUCCUCAUUCUGCCCUUCCUCUGCCCUCUCAGAUGCAAGGUAACCUCAGCACAUCAAAGAGAGGAUCCAUACAGAGUCCACUUGAUGCUAUUACCCCCAAAACACACACUUGCAACCCCCACCUCUCCUUGCGCACACAUACACCAGCAAGUGCAUACACUUUACAUUUGAAAAAAAUAAAUGAAAAAGAUUCACCUAUCCCAUCUGUAUGGCUAUCUAUUGGUCUCCUUGCCCUCUAUUUGUCCUGGUGUGGUAGGAAGUGGCUCACUGGGUGAUUUUCACCAUCUUUUGUGAUGUGAAAUGAAAGGGGAGGUUUAAAUUUGCUGCUGUAAGACCCUCGGGGCAACAAUUCAGGUGCCCAAGACGAUGUACGGCAGAGAUGAAGAUGCCACCACCCAAAGGUGUGUAUGUGCUGGGCCAUAGGUAAGCAUGAAUAUCUCUCAUCAGCCUAGUGUUCUCCCGGCAGGCCUGACCCGUGGAGUCAUUAACUCUACAGGUAAAUCACCUCGCAAUCAGUGUGUCUGAAGCCCCCUGCUCUCCAGAUGAUUCCCCUGCUGAUUGGCCUAACUGGACUCCUGUCUGAGGAACGAUUUCCUUGCAUUGUUUUCUUUAUGGCACAUAGAUUGAGCUGGUGAAGGCAGCGUGUGUGAGGAUGUGCUCUGAGGUCGCUCUCUCUUCGUAACAGGAAAAGCACAGGCGAGCUUUCAUUCUAAUGAUUUUGAAUGAGCCCUUGAAAUGGCAAACUGAUUUCUUGAAGAGGAAAUUGUAGCCAAGUUGGUCGAGGUUACGGCCAGAUUCAUCAAUGCCACAACUGGAGAGUGAAAUGUUCUAGAAAUAUUUGGAACGUUGUUAGUGAGAUUGUAUUUGGCGUUGAUGCUAGAAGAGGGCACUACUUUGACACUACUUACAAAUGAGCUUUUAUAAGCCUGAGUUCCAGUUCCAAGUUCCAG
ensembl:lncRNA